rnacentral:rRNA from 1 species
UACAGAGGUCCCAAGCGUUGUUCGGAUUCACUGGGCGUAAAGGGUGCGUAGGCGGUCGGGUAAGUCUGACGUGAAAUCUUCAAGCUCAACUUGGAAAUGGCAUUGGAAACUACCUUGCUCGAGGGUUGGAGGGGGGACUGGAAUGCUUGGUGUAGCAGUGAAAUGCGUAGAGAUGUGGAGGAACACCGAUGGCGAAGGCAGCCUCCUGGGCCAAUACUGACGCUCAUGCACGAAAGCGUGGGGAGCAAACAGG